rnacentral:rRNA from 1 species
AUGCUGACCUGCGGCCGAUACCUAUCCUCCGCCGCUGCCACAACGCCAUCCUUUCCCCCGCUCCGGACACUAACCUUCUCUCUCCUCCGCUAUCAUCCUAUCCGCUUCCUCUCGUUCUCCUCCGCCGCCGCCACCACCGCAGUCGAACCUGAGACCAUAAGCGGCGGCGGCGGCGCGGGUGGUGGUGCCACGAGGCCGCAGUGGAAGGCGGCGAUAGACUUCAAGUGGAUCCGGGACAACAGGGAUGUCGUCGCCACCAACAUCCGGAAUCGGAACUCCGCCGCCAACCUCGACGUCGUCCUCCAGCUCUACGAUCAGUACCUCGCGCUGCAGAAGGAGGUCGAACGGCUCCGAGCUGAAAGAAAUGCAGUUGCUAACAAAAUGAAAGAGAAACUAGACCCGUCUUUGCGACAAGCCCUUGUUGACGAAGGCAAAAACCUGAAAGAAAGCCUUAUUGCACUAGAAGAGGAUCUUGUUCAGCUAACUUAUAAGCUUCAGUUAGAAGCACAAAGCAUUCCUAAUACUACACAUCCAGAUGUGCCUGUAGGGGAUGAGGAAAGCUCUGUCACCAGAAAGGAGGUAGGCAGUCAGAGAAGCUUCAGUUUCCCCAUUAAAGACCACCUUCAGCUUGGGAAGGACCUUGAUUUAUUCGACUUUGAUGCAGCUUCUGAGGUUAGUGGUUCAAAGUUCUACUACCUGAAGAAUGAAGCUGUUUUGUUGGAGAUGGCCCUUGUAAAUUGGGGUAUUGCUGAGGUCUCAAAGAAGGGUUUCACACCACUCAUAACUCCAGAGAUUGUUAGAUCAUCUGUUGUUGAGAGAUGCGGCUUCCAGCCAAGGGCCCAAAAUACUCAGGUCUAUUCAAUAGAUAACAGUGAUCAGUGCCUCAUAGGGACUGCAGAAAUUCCCGUUGGAGGCAUCCAUAUGAACUCUAUCCUUGUCGACUCUGAUUUACCUCUAAAAUAUGUGGCAUAUUCACACUGUUUUCGCACAGAAGCAGGUGCCGCAGGUGCUGCCACUAGGGGCCUUUACCGAGUACAUCAAUUUAGCAAGGUUGAGAUGUUCAUAUUCUGUCGGCCAGAGGAAAGUGACAAGUACCAUGAAGAACUUAUAACCAUCGAAGAGAAUCUUUAUGCAUCACUUGGACUUCAUUUCAAAACUUUGGAUAUGGCAACAGGAGAUUUGGGCGCUCCAGCCUACAGAAAGUAUGACAUUGAGGCAUGGAUGCCAGGCCUGGAUCGGUACGGUGAGAUCUCAAGUGCAUCAAACUGCACGGACUACCAGAGCAGGCGGCUGGGUAUCCGGUUCCGUCCAGCACCCUUGGAGCCUCCACCGUCGACGAACAGCAAGAAAGGGAAAGGGGGUAGUUCAGGUCCGACGCAGUUUGUCCACACGCUCAACGCAACGGCAGUCGCUGUUCCUCGCCUGAUCAUAUCCAUUUUGGAGAAUUUUCAGCAAGAGGAUGGUAUGGUGGUGAUUCCUGAGCCGCUGAGGCCCUUCAUGGGUGGGCUUGGCGUCCUCACCCCAAAAACCAAGUGA